GUCCUCUCAGCCACCAGACGGCGCCACGCACAGAGCCUUAGACUCUAUGGUCUCUCCCAUGAGGAAGCGCGACCAGGAACCUCCUAUAUACUUCCGUUUCCGGCCUGUCGCCUUCCUUUCACUGCUGAUAGCGCUUGCAAACAUGGUGAACGUUCCUAAAACCCGCCGAACUUUCUGUAAGAAGUGUGGCAAGCAUCAACCCCACAAAGUAACACAGUACAAGAAGGGCAAGGAUUCUCUGUAUGCGCAGGGAAAGCGGCGUUAUGACAGGAAGCAAAGUGGCUAUGGUGGGCAGACUAAGCCUAUUUUCCGAAAAAAGGCUAAAACUACAAAGAAGAUUGUGCUGAGGCUUGAAUGCGUUGAGCCUAACUGCAGAUCUAAGAGAAUGCUGGCUAUUAAGAGAUGCAAGCAUUUUGAACUGGGAGGAGAUAAGAAGAGAAAGGGUCAAGUGAUCCAGUUCUAGAGCGUCAUAUUUUGUUUUAUUAUAUGACAAUAAAAUCAUGGGAGGAGCUCUGUGAUAUGACAGGCAGGAUUACAGGCCAUUCCUUGACCCAGAGAAGUAAGACUGAUGGUGUAAGAACGAGGUCCACCAAUCUCCUGCAGGUUUACCACAGCCACAGCCCAGGCUAAAUUCGAGAGAGGGCGUUCCCAUACCUCAAUGCUGUCUUCCUGAAAAGCAAGCCAAGAAAAUAGAGAAUUUGGCUGUUUCAGCAAAAGGAGAACUUAAGAUGGGCCUCAAGAAGUGUUGCAAAAUAUAUAUCUGCUGACAGAUGAAAAUUCCACCUGAUAAGCCUUACAAUCCAAUCUUCAGAUAAUGGCAGCUAUUUUAUUCUCUAAGUGUUUUUGAAUAAGUUUCCAUACCGAAGUAUUUGGUCUCCUAAAUGAAAAAGAAAUUAUCUGUAAACUCACAUAAUCAGAUAGAUGGCGGAUUCCACUUGGAAAGCGUUUAGGGUCUGCCUGAAGUCUCUGUUUUGAGUCUCUUCGGGAAGCCAUCCAACAGUCAUCAAUACAGAUGUACUCAUAUCCCACUUCCUUCCAGCCUUCUGAGGCCAUGAUAUCUGCCAUCUGCAUGAAGAGCUUCUCACUGAAAGAGAAAUUCCAAGAAUCAUUACAAUUAAUUAAACAAAUGCUUGGGUACUUCCUA